rnacentral:rRNA from 1 species
GCUCGUGGAUCGAUGAAGACCGCAGCUAAAUGCGCGUCAGAAUGUGAACUGCAGGACACAUGAACACCGACAAGUUGAACGCAUAUUGCACACUGUACAACAGUACGAUGUACACAUUUUUGAGUGCCUAUGUUUAUCCAUUCAACUGUACGUGCGUGCGCGUCCCGCCACAGCCCACUCGGUAAAACGUUGAAGAUAGUCAGGCGCGCCCUUCCCCGGGCGCAGCUGAUGAAUACAUCCCCUAGUCCAACGCGCUUGGUUACGUUGUAUUUCAUCGGCAGGACCUCACACCCCCCCAUACACAGUAGGCCUCAAAUAAUGUGUGACUACCCCC